rnacentral:lncRNA from 10 species
UGCCCAUAUCAGAUAUCUUCAGAAAUCACUUUGGAAAAUGCCUUUAGGAAGGUAGGACACCUCUUCCCAUUUGUCUUAUGAUGGCAGGUCCAGAGCUUACAUGAAGAGGCAGUGAGGCAAAGAUGUAAAGAAUAUGGACUCUUCAGUCAGACCUGGGAUGAACCCCGGCCAUUACCUACUCACGGAGGAGCCUGGGCCACUUAUCUAACCUCUCUGAGGCUCACUUUCUGCGUCUAUCAAAUGAGAAUAGCGCUACUAUCUGCUGUAUGAAACACUGACCGAGUUAAGCAAAAUAAUGCAGGUUAGCUGCUUAAUCCAGUGUCUAGCACAUAGCAAGUGCCAAAAAUGUGAGCGAUUAAAAGGGGUCUUUUACUAGCACUGGCCACAUCCCCAUCUUAUCGCUUUAUCUUCCAUUGAGCAGAGGUUCUGCCAGGUGCAGGGGACAAGGGAGAAGAAAAGACACGCACAUUCUCCUGGGCUUCAAAGUUGUCCCAUCCUUCUGUGAUGUCAUAAUCUGAGCCAUAGCCCACAAAUGUGAACUCCAACAACCCCCAAACCCAGUCCUCACCUCCCACAUGCUUUUCAUCACCCGCUCUCACAUCCCAUCUGGGGCCUCUGCUUCCAUCCUACCAUUUCGCAAGCCUGGCCAACUCAAGCUCCGUGUGCUGCACCUAGAGCAGCCCAUCUCUGUGUCAGGGAGGUGAGCUGCUCAGUUGCCAGAGUAUCAACCUGAGCCCAGGACACUGCCAGACUGCUGAGUCAAAGAGGGUUUAGCAGCCCAUUUUCAUAGACAGACAGGUGAGAGGAGGAUGCUGGACAUGGUCCCAGAGACAUGGGGACUCAAGAAACAUGAAGAUCUGUUCACAGCUAAGGGCACAUUUCCAUGCCGAGAAAUCAGGCGUGAGCGCAAGAGUCCUAUCGUCUACCAGAAAAAGAAAUCUUUGGGAGAACUGCAAUCCAAGCAAAUGUGGUGGGUGUGAAGCUUUCAAGAAGUUGGGUCAAGAACAAGGACUGAAAGAGGAGCAUCAAUUUAUGGGGGCCACUGAGGCUUUCAGAGAUUUUGUGACCUACCAAACUGGCACAGCUAGUAAAUGGAUGACAAGCCAUUAACAUGGAAAGAAGAAGAGGCAUCCAAAGUGUUGGGUCCGCAUCGCCCUUGCCUUGGAGGAAGCUCCAAAUAGAGGGAAGGAUGGUUUCCAGCAGUCCCUGAAGUGCCUUUCCUCCUUCGUGGGAUCCAGUUACACCCAGCAGACUUCAGUUUGAAUAAACAGAACUAGAUGAAUACACCUAGGGAAUCUGUGAGGCCAGCCUCAGCUUUUAACAUCCAGCUACAGGGAGGUGAGAGAAGCUUCAGCCAGUUGUUUUCUAAGAGCGAGAUAAAGAAACCACCCUCCAAUUAUGCAUCAAAUUCUGCUUCACAGUUGAAUAAGGGGCAUGAAAUCGGAUGUUUUUCAAGCUCAAUAUAAAGCAGUGGAAAACCUACCUCCCCUCUCCCUCCAUAAAGAACAUCUAAACGCACAGCAUUUAAUUUCCGAAUAGGGCAAUGUUCUUUUUAAGGGAAAUGUUAAGCAGGGAUUAGAGACACGAUGGGCUGUGUAACUCUAUCCUCAGCCCUCUCCUUGUUAAUAGUAAUUUUUUUUUGGCGGCGUCUGUGCAGAGAUGUGGGAAAAACCAAAGUCUUAUGUAAAUGAGAAUUGACACAUGCUCGAUAAACCAAACGCCAGACCUGAGAUCUUAAUUACACAGGAGUCUAGAUGUCAAAAUGAAUGCAGCUUAUUGACGUUCAGAGAUUUCACUCGGUAUUAAGUUGGACGACCUUCUUCCGGGACCAGAGAGCAAAGCGCUGGUUUCUCAUUACCCAGGGCCAUCUUCACAAAUGGCAAAGAGCUGUGUUCAUGCCUAGACACUUUUCUAGGUGGAAUAUAUCCCUGAACCACAACACUUAACACCUGCUCAUAGUGGGACAAGCAAAACAAGAUGUUUUCAGGUGUGGGACAAACCACUGCUAAUUGACCAAGGGCUCUUCUGAGCAGAGGUCCCUAACUGCACCCUCUCUCUCCACUCAGCCCCCACCUCCAUCGUGCCUAUUCAUGUAGUCUCAUUCGUGCCUCUAAGGCAUUGCCAGGGGCACUACUUCAACUUCAACAACUAAUACUCCUGUGAGAUACACAAGAGCAUUAGUAGUCACUUUUUAAUGUCAAGAAACAAAGUCCAUAAUUACUAAGCAUUUAUGUUGCUGAAGAUGAGAACACUUGGCAGCUUGGGUAGCUCACAAAGCAGCUCCUGGUAGACUAGGUUUACUGGCCCAUAGCUUUAUUCGUUAGUGGAGACAAUGGCCAUUACCCUAAGCAGCACAGGCUCUGUUUUUAAAGGGAGAGAAAGCUACUUUCAGGCUUGGGCAUAACCAAACAGUGCUCAGUGGGAGUCAGGUUCUUUGCCUUGAAAUAGAAAAAUAAUACACCCUUUCCCUCCACCUCCACUAAUUAAAGUGUCAGGAUGGAGCCCCGACACUGACUUGACACAUGACAUGAUGUCUCGUGUAAUUGGACGUGUUUCACGCUAACAUCAAAGCCUCGUCAAGGAUGAUGGAGCGAGAUGUUUAGUGCAUGCCUGUUGCAGUCUGACAUAUAACUCCAUCCAGCUUCAUUCACAGGCUCUCGCUCACCGGGAGAUUAACCCGCCAGGCUGCUGAGUGAGAGGGGACAGAGUAGGCCCUGACGGGAGGCCUGGGACGCAGGGGAAAUCAAAACAAGUCCACCUGCUUAAGGAGACUGCCGCACUGUGACCUCGUCCUCCGGACAUCUGUGGCAAGUGUUACCGCAGCCACUGAUGUGGCGCACUGGGCCAUUUACAGCUGCCUCAUGAUAUUCUUUUUCACGACUGUGUUUACACUAUUGUUUAACAACUUUGUAUAACAAUCUCUUUUCACUCCAAAUAAACCUUAGUGCCUGGAAGGCCAAGAGUAUCUUCAGUAUGUGUCUAUCCUAGUAAGCUUCUCAAAUGAUACAGAAUUUUUCGUUUUUUUUAAAAAUUUCCAACCUCUCAUGUGCCAAUACUUUUGUAUAAUCAAAAUGAUUAGAAAAAUGAACAUGGACUAGGAUGCCUUAGUAGUGUCAAAUGACUAUAAAUGUGUCUAAAUGCUUAAUGUAAAUUUCUUGUCAUAGACCAGUAACACACAGUUUGCUAACUGGCACGGGUCUGUGGACCUCAUUUGAUUAUCAUUAAACCAGAACAACUAGAAUGCCUGGUACAAUAGGGAGCAAAGAAUAUCUUCUCAAUAUGGAACUGCUGAUUGAAUAUGUGUAUGAAUUAUAACAUAUAUACACAUAUUACAAUGUACACAUAUGGAAUACAUUCACACCAAAUACUGGUAUAUGCACAUACGUUCAAUCAAAUUAUACUUUAUACCAUAACAUAUGUGUAAAUAAGAAGAUGGGGUUUACAAAAGGAAGACCUAUACUUAGGUUUUUAAAAAAGUGCAUUAGGUAACGAGUUGGCACCAUGACGCUCUCUAUGGAAAGGUAUAGGUGGAUGAGGAAGAAUGACUGAGCAGUGCUUCUCCUGUGCUCCAUGCUGUAAUUCUCCAAGCUCUGUGUGGGACUGGUGUUCACACCCAUAUUUACCCAAGAGGCAGUGAAGCUCACUGAGGCUACGCGAUUUGCCAAGGUCACGCUGCUAUUUAGUGAUGGAGAUGGGAUUCAGGUACAGGACUGUCCGGCUCCACAGCCUGCGUUCUAUGGCACCACAUUGUUCAGUGGUGUCACAGGGAGCUAUGCUUUGUUCAUAUGACACACAGUACAAAGAGAAUGGCUGUGUUCCUACCUCCACCUCCAAGCAAAGACCACCAUAAAAUAAUCACAAGGGGCUGGCCUGGGUAGGUUUUGAGUGAGAAGAAGUCCAACUGAUGAACUUCUAGGAAAAGUUUACUCCCUCCUAAGAAAAAAGCAUGGAGAAAAGAUGACCCCCUUCUUCUGCUGGGGAUUGAAACAUCGGGAUAGGAUGGCCAGGACAUCCCUCAGUCAUCUUUUUU